AUGCGGCACCAGGUAGGCCUCCUCCUCCGGCGCCACAUCCACCGCCGCGCCAAGCCCGCUUCCGCGCCUCCCCCGCCACCGCCCCCCACCCCGCCGCGCCCGCCGCAGAAGCCCGAGCCUGUCUCCAUCCACGGGGAGACGUGGCACGACAGCUACGCGUGGAUGGGCGCCCUCUCCGACGCCGCGGCCAUGCGCCACAUGGACGUGCACAUGGAGGCCGAGGAGAAGUACGCCGAGGCCUGCCUGGCGGCGGCGGGCGCCGACCGCCUCGCGCGGAAGCUCCAGCUCGAGAUGGCCUCCCGCCUUGCCUCCGAUGCCUGCACGCCGCCCGUCCGCUGGGGCCCCUGGCUAUACUACCGCCGUGCGGACGAGGGCAAGCAGUACCCUGUGCUCUGUCGCCGCUCCGCGGCGCUGCACAGCGAGUUUGUCUCGUAUAGCGAUCCCUCUGCUGGUUUCGACUUCACUGCCGGGAAGCGCAUCGAGCAGAAAUUGGUCGAUUACAACAAGGAGGCCGAGCGGUUCGGAGGAUACUCAUACGAGGAACUGUCUGAAGUGUCCCCAGAUCACCGGUUCAUUGCAUACACUAUGUAUGACAAAGAAAAGGAUUCCUUCACGUUAAUGGUGAGGGACCUAGUGACAGGAACUCUUUGUGAUAAACCUCGUGCUGACCGGGUUUCAAACAUAUCAUGGGCUAUGGAUGGGAAAGCACUGGUUUAUAUUGUUACAAAUGAGGAUAGGAGGCCAUAUCGGUUGUUUUUCAGCAUUAUUGGAUCCAACAAGGACGAUAUUCUCAUGCUGGAAGAACCUGACGAGAAUAUUUAUUUAAAUAUCAGACACACCAAGGAUUUUCGGUUUAUAACAUUAAAUGUCUUUUCAGACACUCACUCAAAGGUAUAUUUGAUAAAUGCUUCUGACCCCCUGUCCAGAAUGACAUUGGUUUGGGAGGGUGAAUCACAAGUUCAUUGUAUUGUUGAACACCAUCGUGGAUGCUUAUAUUUAUUUACAGAUGCUGCACGAGAAGGCACCCCUGUUGAUUCUCAUUAUCUAAUGCUGUCUGAUGUGGAAUCUCCUGGCCCAAAGAGCUGGAAGGAUGUUUUUCUUGAAGAAUCAGGCAUUAUUCUUGAAGAUGUUGAAUUUUGUGAGACUCACAUGGUGCUUAUUUUGAGACAAGGCAGAAAACUCAAGCUUUGUUCAGUAAAUUUACCCUUCCCUGAACACAUCAAAGUACCUGCUCGUCUGUCAGAUUUCCAUCCAUUUGACUUGCCUCUUCCAAAUCAUGCGUGUCAGAUUUUAUCUGGCCCAAAUUAUGAUUACCAUUCCUCAACAAUGCGUUUCACACUAUCAUCACCUGUGAUGCCUGAUGCAGUUGUUGACUACAACCUACUGAAUGGAAGGUGGAAGAUAGUGCAACAGCAAAACAUGCUUCAUGAAAGAACAAAAGCACUGUAUGGGAAUACUUUUGCUGCUAGUAUGGAUAAGCCAUCUUCAAAAAGAGGUGAUUUGUCAAGUGAGGUUUUUGGAGAUUGUGAUUGGAAUGAGCUCUCUGAAUACUAUGCUUGUGAGUACCAUGAUGUUCCAUCAAAGGAUGGAGUUUUGGUUCCACUGACAUUAGUAUAUUCACAAAAGCACAAGCAAGACGGAAAUCCAGGGUUACUUCAUGGGCAUGGUGCUUAUGGUGAGAUUUUGGAUAAGCGUUGGCGUAGUGAGUUAAAGAGCCUACUUGAUCGUGGUUGGGUGAUUGCAUUUGCUGAUGUCAGGGGUGGUGGAGGUUAUGGGAAGAAGUGGCACCAAGAUGGUGCACGUACAAAAAAAAUGAAUUCUAUAUUUGAUUUUGUUUCUUGUGGUGAGUUUCUUCUUGAGAAGGGUAUCAUACAAGAAAAUAAGCUUGCUGGAUGGGGAUAUAGUGCUGGAGGACUUCUGGUGGCUUCAGCAAUCAAUACUCGGCCUGAUUUGUUUCGUGCGGUUGUUUUGAAGGUCCCUUUCUUGGAUGUUUGCAAUACCCUUCUCCACCCUAUUCUACCUCUUACAGCUAUUGACUAUGAAGAGUUCGGGUUUCCUGUGGACCAUGAAGAGUUCCUUUCAAUCAGGAAGUAUUCUCCUUAUGAUAACAUCCAGAAGGAUGUACCUUACCCAGCAGUGUUUGUGACAUCAUCAUUUAAUACAAGGUUUGGUGUAUGGGAAGCAGCUAAAUGGGCUGCAAAAGUCCGUGAAGUUACUCAAUAUGAUUCAGAGCGGCCUGUAAUUCUCAACUUGACAACAGAUGUUGUAGAAGAAAGCAAGUAUUUGCAAACCAAGGAAUUAGCAUUGGAGACUGCUUUCCUAAUUAAAAUGGUUAAUGAUACAUGAGCAUCUGGUUUUAUCUCUUUUGAAUUUAAACUUAUUCCCAAACAUGGGGAGCACAUAUUACAACGACAUACCUCUCUUUCCAGCAAUAGUCUGGAAUCAACUAAUUGGAGAUUAUGUGAGAAUGUACUAGGCGGAAAUCAUAUGUGCAUUAGUUUGUGAGAUAGUUACUCUGUAACAAUUUAUCACUGUCAAUUAUAUGGUGUGGUCUGCUAUCCCAAGGAGUUAUUGGUUUUUGAUAUUAUUCAUAGCCAGGUGAAUUGGAUAUCAGCGAUGUAAUUAUAUCAAGGGUGGUUUUGACGUCUGACAAGUCCACCAUAUAUGGUGGGGCGAAAUCUUUCACGCUUAGCUUGGAGCGUGUACUGCUGCUGUUUAAGGCACUUGCACUGUUGCACCACAACAGAGCUGGAUCGACCAAAAUAUACCUUGUCUUGGCAGCGUGCACCACUUUGUUGCUUCAUCCUUUCAUGAAAUUCUGCCUCUUAUGGUCUCCCACGUAGUUAUGGAUGAGGCUAAUUUUGUCUCAUCGAAGUACAUGGAGCCGUUGAAUACUACAUGCUGAUAUGAGGGCUUCAACAAAGCAUAAGUUGGAAACCUGCUGCAGGUUGUGACCACACUGUAUAUUGGAAAAUUCGGUUCAAACAGAUCUCUACACCAUUCAAAUCAGGAUAGAUCGUGUUGAAUUGCGAAUCUGUAACUACAUCGUCAAGUAUUUUUCACAAUGGCAACCAGUGUGUUAAUAUAUCUUCGUGACUUGUGAGAAGGUAUUUCUAGUUGGACGUUAGGGAUUUUUAGCUUUAUAUUUACUAGCUUAUUUCCUGCAUGUAGUAACUGGACUUUAAUUAAAGAAGGUUAUUACGAACCUGUUAUUAUUAUUAG